rnacentral:rRNA from 1 species
GAGCGGUAGUCCGGGCGAGCUUGCUCCCUGGGUGACGAGCGGCGGACGGGUGAGUAAUGUCUGGGAAACUGCCUGAUGGAGGGGGAUAACUACUGGAAACGGUAGCUAAUACCGCAUAACGUCGCAAGACCAAAGAGGGGGACCUUCGGGCCUCUUGCCAUCAGAUGUGCCCAGAUGGGAUUAGCUAGUAGGUGGGGUAAUGGCUCACCUAGGCGACGAUCCCUAGCUGGUCUGAGAGGAUGACCAGCCACACUGGAACUGAGACACGGUCCAGACUCCUACGGGAGGCAGCAGUGGGGAAUAUUGCACAAUGGGCGCAAGCCUGAUGCAGCCAUGCCGCGUGUGUGAAGAAGGCCUUCGGGUUGUAAAGCACUUUCAGCGAGGAGGAAGGUGGUGAGCUUAAUACGUUCAUCAAUUGACGUUACUCGCAGAAGAAGCACCGGCUAACUCCGUGCCAGCAGCCGCGGUAAUACGGAGGGUGCAAGCGUUAAUCGGAAUUACUGGGCGUAAAGCGCACGCAGGCGGUUUGUUAAGUCAGAUGUGAAAUCCCCGGGCUCAACCUGGGAACUGCAUUUGAAACUGGCAAGCUAGAGUCUCGUAGAGGGGGGUAGAAUUCCAGGUGUAGCGGUGAAAUGCGUAGAGAUCUGGAGGAAUACCGGGUGGCGAAGGCGGCCCCCUGGACGAAAACUGACGCUCAGGGUGCGAAAACGUGGGGAGCAAACAGGGAUUAGAUACCCUGGUAGUCCACCCUGUAAACGAUGUCAAUUUGGAGGUUGUGCCCUUGAGGCGUGGCUUCC